GAACAUAAAAAUGCGCGCGCCUUAUGUUGAUUUGUCCACAAAAUCAAUUAACAGUCCUAGGCGGAGUGGGCACGCUCGACCUGGUUUGACUGUAAGAGAUUUCAAAUCAAAACUUGGUGAACAAUGACUGCUCUUACUAUCCCACUAUCCCAUAGCCCGUCUGUUUGGUUUCUUCCCGCUUUUUAGCUGAACACCUAAAGUGGAUUCAACCUUUGACGAAGUACUUUUGUAAACAACAACAAAGGCUCUUGUGUCAAAAUUGUGGAGAAUAGAGAUCGCAGUUGGAAUCGCAGUGCACUCGAUAACUAGCUUGAAAGGGAAGGAAAAGGAUAUUAAAAAUGCAAACAAAAUAUACAAGUAGACGGGCCUGAACUGUUGAUGCGCCGCCCAGAAGUUUGUCGCUAAGCAACCAGUACACUUGAUGAUCCAUUAACGUCAUAACAUUAUCAGCCAAUCCGAAGCCUUCCUGGCCAUUGUUCCCGCGUUGGGACUAUUCCCAGAUGACCGAGUGUAAUUAGAAUGGUACAACAACCAUUCCUUAGCCCAACCUGAUUUCGUUAAUUGAGAAGCCCCCGCAACAACGGACGGGUCCUACAUUUUUCGCUCCAGAAUAUUAAAGCUGUGUUUCGGGCAUAAUCAGACUACAAACUCCAUUGUAGCCCCUUUGUUUGGCCUGUGAAAGAGUUGGGACUUUGGGACAACGCAGAAGGCUAGAAAUAGCUCUGGGUCUGCUGAUAGUAGUCUUUUCCAGUACAUGUAAUGCUUCAAACACAACGAGGCGUUUCCAUGUUUCUUGGUCCAGCAAUGAGCUCUUGGAUAAACUCCAUGUCCUUGUCUGACAGGCCAUACCUCCUGAAUUCUUCUGAUAGCUUGUUAUCAUCCACCAGUCACAGCCUGGUCUUGCGGCAGGUAUGAAUCCAGCAUCAAACAUAUGAGAGAAUGGUCCAUGACCUGGAAUUAACAUGUCUUUUAAUCUUUGUGUCAAAAUUAGUAAGGAGACUUAUUUUUUAUCCAAGGAAAAAUUGUAAGAUUAAAAUCGUAACACAAGCACAACUUCACUUGCAGUUUGGUAUGAACUAUACUGUAGAAAUGGAUGAAAUUUAGUACUUAACAGUCAUAAGUUUAUUCUCAAGGUGUUUAUUGCAUAUAGGUGCAAUAAUGUGUAUAAAAAUAAUAGUACUGAUGUUAUUAAUAUAUCACACUCACCCAGAUCAUGGCAAAGACCAGCAAUCUUCACACAUAGAACAUCAACAUCUGUUAUACCCAGCCCUGGUUGUCGUUUUCUAAU